CCCCAUCUGAGGCUCAUCCUCCUUUUGACUUUCAUCAUGGCCUGGAUCCUUGUUCUGUUUAGCUUUCUUGCUUACUGCUCAGGUAUGGUUGUGGUGGGCUAAUGGGUAUACAGCAAAACUAUUUCUCAUGUGUAUUUAUCAUCCCCCCCUCCAAAGCCAACUUCCAUGAUAUUUGAAAAUACAGAAAAUGAUUCAUGUGUUUAUCAUUUUCCUCCUCCUUGCAAAGGUGUCCUUUCACAGCAAACGUUGACUCAGGCAGCCUCCGAGUCUGUCUCCCUGGGCCAAGCAAUUAAACUCUCCUGUUCUAAAAGUAGCAGUGGAAGCUGGGGCAACUUUCACUGGUAUCAACAGAAAGCUGGCCAGGCUCCUCGCUCGCAUUCUAUCAUACCAGCGACAGGGGAGAAGGGAUCCCAGAUCGGUUCACUGGUUCUGUCUCUGGGAACACUGGGUAUUUAACCAUCUCCAACAUCCAGACUGAAGAUGAGGUCGUUUAUUACUGUGGUGCCUGGGAGUACACUGGUACUACCAAGUUCCACAGUGAUAACAAUCUGAUGGGGAACUGAGAUAAAAACCUUUGCUCUUCCUCCCUAGAGUAGGAAACUUGAAUCACCCAGGAACUUCAUUGAGGCCGAAAGUGACAGUCCUUCCUCCUCACCAUGGACAGGCUCAAAGUUAGGGCAGGAGGACAGAUUUUGUAGGUCUACUGGAAGAGGAUCCUGGAGCAGUUGCAGAUCUUGUAUGCAACUGCACUGAAGACUGAGGACUUCGCUUUCAUUGGUAUCAACAGAGAACUGGAGAAUAUCCCUGCUCUUGGCUUUACAAUGCCAGCACCAGGGGAGAAGAGAUUCCAGAUCAGUUCAUAAGUUCUACCUCUGGAAACAUUGCCCAUUUAGCUAUCCUAACACCCUGACUGAAAACAAUUAAUUACACCUCUACAGUUAUUCACAUGCAACAUUCAAUGUGUGUAAAGUCUGCACACAAUAGUUGAGCUGUAUGAAUCAAGAAGCAUACACACCAACAUUUGUAGAUGUCUAGAGGCAGCUGAGGAACACGGGUGGCGCUGUGGGUUAAACCACAGAGCCUAGGACUUGCUGAUCAGAAGGUCGGCGGUUCGAAUCCCCGCAACGGGGUGAGCUCCCGUUGCUCGGUCCCUGCUCCUGCCAACCUAGCAGUUCGAAAGCACAUCAAAGUGUAGGUAGAUAAAUAGGUACCGCUCCGGCGGGAAGGUAAACGGCGUUUCCGUGUGCUGCUCUGGUUCGCCAGAAGCGGCUUAGUCAUGCUGGCCACAUGACCUGGAAGCUGUACGCCAGCUCCCUCAGCCAGUAAAGCGAGAUGAGCACCGCAACCCCAGAGUCGGUCAUGACUGGACCUAAUGGUCAGGGGUCCCUUUACCUUUACCUAGAGGCAGCUGGUACCUGUGUUCAGUGUCAUGUGUGAACAAACCUAUAGUCUCUCCUGAGUGUUGGUACAUUCAUAUGGCAAGGAAUGGAACUUGCAUACCCAACAGGUGAGACUUACAAGCAACAAAAGGUUGCAGCAUACAGUUCAGACGUGGCAGAAAAAGAUUGCCCAGAUUUUCACUACGAUCCUAAUCCUUUGAGAUACAUUGCAUUUUGGAUUGCCUUGAGAUUUUCCAGCCAGGGCAGCAAGGGUCAUUCUCACCAUACAAUUAUAUAUUCUAGUCAGGUCUGGAAGGUUCCCGAGGGCCAGGCAGAGAGGCUGGAGGGCCACAUUAAGCCUCUGGAUCUAAGAUCCCACUCCCGUCCUAAACAAAAUGCCAUUCUUCUUUUAAACUGCCUAACGCAUGCAAAAUUAUUUUGUUAGAAGUUCAUCACAUUUCCUGCCCAUAGCAAAGCCAAUGGGCAUUGAUAUAUUUGCAUGAUAAGUCUCUCUUCAUUUCAUGUGGGAUUUAAGAGAGGGGGAGGAAGGUGCCGCUAGAUUAGAGAACCUUUAUUCCUCUCAGACUCACCCUCAAAUUGAUUUCCACCAUGGCAAAGCUGUGUGUUUUAUUCAUGUUUCUCAGUUACUGCUCAGGUCUGGUUGUGGAGGGAAUAUGGGGCUGGUGACCAUGCUAUUUGUCUUCUUUAUUUAUCACUAAAACAGAAUUAAUACUUUUUCUGAAAUUUGAGAAAACAGAAAAUGAUGCAUAGUUGUUUUCUUUUCUUUACAAAGGUGUCAGUUCACAGCACACAUUGACUCAGUCAAGCUCCGAAUCUGGGACUCUGGGCCAGACCCUGAUUCUCUCCUGCUCUAAAAGUAGCAGCAGCAAGAGUGCAUUUCGCUGGUAUCAACAGAAACCUGGAGAAGCUCCUCGCUUUGUGCUCUACGGCACCAGCGACAGGGGAGAAGGGAUCCCAGAUCGGUUCACGGGCUCCGUCUCUGGGAACACUGGCUAUUUAACUAUCUCCAACCUCCAGGCUGAAGAUGAGGCCGUUUAUUACUGUUCUGUUUGGGAGGACACCCGUGGCUUCAAGUUCCACAGUGGUGCAAUCUGAUGGGGAACCGAGACGAAAAAGCUUCACUCUUCCUCGCUGCAGCAGGAAACCUGAACCACACAAUCACUUGUUUGAGCCUCAAAGGAACAGCUUGGCCAGGGACAAGCUUGGAAUGGUUAGGGCAGGAGGGCAAUGGGGGGGGGGCUUUGCUGGAAGAGGAGGGCAGAAUAUUGAGAUGCUGGAAGAACUUAGAGGGCGCCUCUCUGACAAACUGGUAGAACAAGCAGAGCUUGUGGGAAAAAUAAAUAACCAAUUAAAAUGGGCAUAAGGCUUGAGCUACAAGUACUCUUUUCUAACUGAAUGGCACUGUUUUAUUAUGUACAUAGAGGAAAACCAAAAUAGUAACAACAACAACAAUUUAUUAUUUAUACCCUGCCCAUCUGGCUGGGUUUCCCCAGCCACUCUGGGCGGCUCCCAACAAAAUAUUAAAAAGACAACAAAAUAUCAAACAUUUAAAACUUCCCUUCAGAUGCUUUCUAAAAGUCAGAUAGUUGUUUGUUUCCUUGAUAUCUGAUGGGAGGGCGUUUAACAGGGCGGGCGCCACUACUGAGAAGGCCCUCUGCCUGGUUCCCUGUAGUUUCACUUCUUGCAGUGAGGAAACCGCCAGAAGGCCCUCGGCGCUGGACCUCAGUGUCCAGGCUGAAUGAUGGGAGUGGAGACGUUCCUUCAAGUAUACUGGGGCUUGAAAGGUCAGCACCAACACUUUGAAUGGUGCUUGAAAAUGUACUGGGAGCCAAUGUAGGUCUUUCAGGACCGGUGCUAUAUGAUCUUGGCGACCAUUCCCAGUCACUAGUCUAGCAGCCACAUUCUGGAUUAAUUGUAGUUUCUGGGUCACCUUCAAAUGUAGCCCCACGUAGAGCGCAUGGCAGUAGUCCAAGCGGGAGAUAACCAGAGCAUGCACCACUCUGGCGAGACAGUCUGUGGGCAGGUAGAGUCUCAGUCUGUGUACCAGAUGGAGCUGGUAGACAGUGGACUCUCCACAACCCAUCGGCACAGCCCUUCUUCCUCUGACCUGUGUUCUGUGUCCCACCACCAUUCUCCUGGCUUGGAGCCUUCCCACUCUGAUGCUUCCCUGAGGUGUUCCCCGGCUAUAGCCUCCCACCAUUCUUCUUCAUCUAGCCAGUCCCUGACAUCAUGACUCUUCACAAAUCACACCCCUUCCUCCAAGGGGAACUUUCCAGGGGCCGUCUGCCAGUGGGGGGGUGUGUGUGGGUGUGUGUGUGGGUGUGUACCUGAGCAGAUGUGACUCUUAUUUUUGUACAACAGGUCACGCCCUUCAUGCAAAACCUGUUCUGUGGUCAUCUGAGAGAGCUUCAUCACAGUUCUUCAUAAUGUCUACAUAAAAGCCAAUGGGUUCAGAUAUAUUUGCAUGAUAUAUCAUCCCUCAGCUCCUGGGAUAUAUAAGAGAGAAGGGUCCCCCUUCCCUCUUAUAGAUUAGAGAGCUGUUUGGGACUCACCUUCCUUUAGAAUUUCACCAUGGGCCAGAUCCUUAUUCUCUUCAUUUUUCUCACUUACUUCUCAGGUAUGGGUUAUGUGGUCUAAUGGGAUAGCAACAAAGCUUCUUCUCUAUUUAGCACAGAAACAGAAUAUGUUUGUGAUAUUAAGGAGCAGAGAAUGAUGCAUCGGUUUUUCUUUUUCUUUCUGCAAAGGUGUCGCUUCACAGCCAACAUUGACUCAGGCAGCCUCCGAGUCUGUCUCCCCGGGCCAAGCAAUUAAACUCUCCUGUUCUAAAAGUAGUGGUGGAAGCUGGGGCAGCUUUCACUGGUAUCAACAGAAAGCUGGCCAGGCUCCUCGCUUCGUGUUCUAUUAUACCAGCAACCGGGGAGAAGGGAUCCCAGAUCGGUUCACAGGUUCUUAUUCAGGGAACACUGGCUAUUUAACCAUCACCAACAUCCAGGCUGAAGACGAGGCCGUUUAUUACUGUUGUGCUUAUGAGAACUCUGGUGGCAAGUUCCAGU